GCUGGGCAUGUUGGCAUGUGCCUGUAGUCCCAGCUACUUGGGAGGCUGAGACAGGAGGAUUGCUUGAGCCCAGGAGGUGGAGGCUGCAGUGAGCCGUGUUUAUACUACCACACUCCAGCCUGGGCGACAAAGUGAGACCCUGUCUCAA
ensembl:misc_RNA Metazoa_SRP Metazoan signal recognition particle RNA